GUGGGGAAUAUUGGACAAUGGGCGCAAGCCUGAUCCAGCCAUGCCGCGUGAGUGAUGAAGGCCUUAGGGUUGUAAAGCUCUUUCAGUGGGGACGAUAAUGACGGUACCCACAGAAGAAGCCCCGGCUAACUUCGUGCCAGCAGCCGCGGUAAUACGAAGGGGGCUAGCGUUGUUCGGAUUUACUGGGCGUAAAGCGCACGUAGGCGGAUCGUUAAGUCGGGGGUGAAAUCCUGGAGCUCAACUCCAGAACUGCCUUCGAUACUGGCGAUCUUGAGUCCGGAAGAGGUGAGUGGAACUCCUAGUGUAGAGGGGGAAUUCGUAGAUAUUAGGAAGAACACCAGUGGCGAAGGCGGCUCACUGGUCCGGUACUGACGCUGGGGUGCGAAAGCGUGGGGAGCAAACAGGAUUAGAAACCCGGGUAGUCC
rnacentral:rRNA from 1 species